GCCCGUUGUGCCCGCAUGGGGCUGAGGCUGAAGGCCCGGGGCCAGGCUGUGGCCGGAGGCCAGAUUCGAACCCGGCGGUCCCCGCCGCGACCAUGGCCUUCGGGCAUCUCCGGACAGCUUCGUGCCAAGUUCGGGAACGGCCGCUGGUUGGUCACGUGGCACCUGUGCCAGGGUUCGGGUAUUUCCGGACAAUCCCGAGUGAGGUUCGGGCAUCUCCGGAUGGCGCUCGGCCGUUUCCGGCUGGGCCAGGGAAGCGGCCGUUGGCAAGGGGUCCGGCUCUCCCCGGAGCAGCUGCCCGCCGCGCCAGGGCGGAAGUGCGGCGGCGUGGUACGUCAGUUCCGGAGAGUGACGCAGCGGCGGGUCAGAGGCGGCGGCAAAAUGGCGGCGCCUGAGGAGCGGGAGCUGACGGCGGAGCAGACCGAGCGGCUGCUGCAGUUCCAGGACUUGACUGGCAUAGAGUCUAUGGACCAGUGUCGUCAUACCCUGGAGCAACACAACUGGAACAUAGAGGCAGCUGUACAGGACCGGUUGAAUGAGCAAGAGGGCGUCCCAAGUGUCUUCAAUCCACCUCCAUCCCGGCCGUUGCAGGUCAAUACAGCCGACCACAGGAUCUACAGCUAUGUUGUUUCAAGGCCGCAACCAAGGGGCCUGUUGGGAUGGGGUUACUACUUGAUAAUGGUUCCAUUCCGAUUUACGUAUUACACGUUACUUGAUAUAUUUAGGUUUGCUGUGCGUUUUAUACGCCCUGACCCUCGCAGUAGGGUCACGGACCCAGUGGGUGACAUUGUUUCAUUUAUUCAUAUGUUUGAGGAAAAAUAUGGGAGGAUACACCCUGUCUUCUACCAGGGAACAUACAGCCAGGCGCUGAAUGACGCUAAGCGGGAGCUGCGCUUCCUGUUGGUUUAUCUUCACGGUGAUGACCACCAAGAUUCAGAUGAAUUCUGUCGCAACACACUGUGUGCACCGGAGGUGAUCACCCUCAUCAACACUAGGAUGCUUUUCUGGGCAUGCUCCACAAACAAACCAGAGGGAUACAGAGUGUCCCAGGCUCUGCGUGAGAACACAUACCCAUUCCUCGCCAUGAUUAUGUUGAAAGAUCGCAGAAUGACGGUGGUGGGGCGGCUAGAAGGCCUCAUCCAGCCUGAUGACCUCAUUAACCAGCUGACAUUCAUCAUGGAUGCCAACCAGACAUACUUGGUGUCUGAGCGCCUGGAAAGGGAGGAGAGAAACCAAACGCAGGUCCUGAGGCAGCAGCAGGAUGAGGCGUACCUGGCUUCUCUGCGGGCGGAUCAGGAAAAGGAACGCAAAAAAAAGGAGGAACGGGAGAGGAAGAAGAGAAGGGAGGAAGAGGUACAGCAGCAGAAGCUAGCGGAGGAGAGACGGCGCCAGACUCUGCAGGAGGAGAAGGUGCGCAAAUCGGAAUGCCUUCCUCCAGAGCCGCAUCCCGAUGACCCAGAGAGCGUGAAGAUCAUUUUCAAGCUGCCCAAUGAUUCCAGAGUGGAGAGGCGAUUCCAUUUCACACAGUCGUUAACGGUGAUCCAUGACUUCCUAUUCUCCUUGAAGGAGAGCCCAGAGAAGUUCCAGAUUGAGGCCAACUUCCCUCGCCGUGUCCUGCCCUGCCUCCCUACAGAGGAGUGGCCCAACCCCCCCACGCUGCAGGAGGCUGGACUCAGCCACACGGAAGUUCUCUUUGUUCAGGACCUCACGGACGAUUGACACUUUUCCAAAACACAAUGGAAGGAGAAAUUCAGAUUAUUAUUAUAAUACAAUAUUUUUUUUAAAGACUGCUGCGUACAAAUGAGGGAUCAGAGACCACGUCACCUGCGCCAGCCACUCUGUGUCUGCACUGGCACGAGAUCCAUGGCUCACCUACUCCCAUGCACAGUCAUCCCCUUACACUUGAUGGCAGAGAGGGAGGGGGGCCACCAUUGCCCUCCCCAGGGAAGGGCAGAAAUGGCAGCUCUUGGUAUUGAUGGCUGAGUGCCCUCUCCCUUGACAGCCCACUGCUCAUAGUCUACUGCUUUCCCCAGGAAGGACCCAGGUAUCAUGUAAGGGAAGGCAGCAGGAGCCCUGCAAGGGAAUCUAUUGGUCCCCUUUCCUUUCUUUGGCUGCAUCUCAGCCAGGCAGCCUGAAAAGACUCUUGCAUCUUAAGUACGGGCCUUUUUGCUGACCGAGUGUAGAGACAGCGCUCUGGGCCACCUGAACAGAAGAACUCUCUGCUGAAGAAGUGCAGUCCUGGGUCUCUGCAGCCUGAGAAUCGUGCUGAAAGGAACGUGGGCCAGGCAGGGAUAAGGCGGCACAGCCAGCCAGGACCCUGGCUUCCACCACCCAGCCUAGGAAGAGCGAAGCUGUACUCGCCUGCAGCACCUGAGCUGCACCUGGUGCUCGGAGCAGCCAGCAGCUUCAGUCCAUUUCUGCCCCGUGGCUCCUGGUUACCGCUGCAGCAGGAAGACGGAAUCCACAGCAAGCUGCAGGUCCCACACAGCCGCAGGGGCAGGUGCUCCUGACAGCAUGGAGCAGAGCCCAGGACUGUUUCGCCUGCUUGUGCAAACCUCAUUUAUCACUGGACACUGAGCGGGUCAGGAGCAAGGGGCUGCUUCCCCCCAGGGCCUGGCCCCCUGCUCCCAUCAGUCACCGGGGUACAGCUGCGACUCUCACUUGUGGGCAGGGGUGGCCAGGCUCCUGCCCCUGUGCAAGGGCAACACGGACCCCUCCCCUCUUCGAUCCCAUAGGGAGGUGCAGCACCUGGAAGCUGCAGGCCCAGCAUGCAAUGCAGAAGGGAAGUGUGACUCACGCUAGAGCAUUGCAUGCUGGGCCCUGCAGGCUCCAGGACAUGCUGCCCGCUGUGCUGGGUGUAGACUUGGGGCCAGCCCCAGGCUGCCGGGAAGCUGACGACGUGAUUGGCAGCUGGGGGAGCAGGCGUUGAGCCCCACGCUAAGCGGGCGAGCACCCGUGGCGCUCCAUGGGCCAGCAGUAGCCAGAGGCAACGAGGAGAGAGAGGCUGGGUGCGGCGCAUUGGUAUACAUCAUACAUU